CUAACCACAGGCCCUGGGGAGCCUCGCAGGCCUGAGGCAGCCGCUCCAGGCCACAGCCAUGGUGUCCUGUCCAAAACAAGCCGGGGAGGACUCAGGUCCCCACACGCCCAGGCCAGGUCUGGGUCCGGGCAGCUCCUGGCUCACUGUCCUCAGAGCUCGUGCCACGAAAGCCCUUACCACAGUCGGAUGCUACAGGAACUGUGGAAAGGACCAGACAAGGGGGCCUGACACGCACAGCCCCACCGAGGCAGCCGGUACCGCCAGCUGAAGCUCACUGCCUUCCUUUCUUAACACUUCUGGGGGGCUGGCACCGUGGUGCAGUAUGUUAAUCCUCCACCUGUGGCGCCAGCAUCCCAUAUGGGCACCGGUUCGAGCCCCGGCUGCUCCUCUUCCGAUCCAGCUCUCUGCUGUGGCCUGGGGAAGCAGUAGAAGAUGGCCCAAGUCAGCCCCUGAACCCACAUGGAGAGACCAGGAAGAAGCAUCUGGCUCCUGGCUUUGGAUCGGCACAUCUCUGGCCAUUGCAGCCAUUUGGAGAGUGAACCAACAGACGGAAGACCUUUCUCACUGUCUGUAACUCUACC